rnacentral:rRNA from 1 species
GAUGAACGCUGGCGGCGUGCCUAAUACAUGCAAGUCGAGCGAACAGACGAGAAGCUUGCUUCUCUGAUGUUAGCGGCGGACGGGUGAGUAACACGUGGAUAACCUACCUAUAAGACUGGGAUAACUUCGGGAAACCGGAGCUAAUACCGGAUGAUAUUUUGAACCGCAUGGUUCAAAAGUGAAAGACGGUCUUGCUGUCACUUAUAGAUGGAUCCGCGCUGCAUUAGCUAGUUGGUAAGGUAACGGCUUACCAAGGCAACGAUGCUUAGCCGACCUGAGAGGGUGAUCGGCCACACUGGAACUGAGACACGGUCCAGGCUCCUACGGGAGGCAGCAGUAGGGAAUCUUCCGCAAUGGGCGAAAGCCUGACGGAGCAACGCCGCGUGAGUGAUGAAGGUCUUCGGAUCGUAAAACUCUGUUAUUAGGUAAGAACAGAUGUGUAAGUAACUGUGCACAUCUUGACGGUACCUAAUCAGAAAGCCACGGCUAACUACGUG